ACGUUUCGAAAGGAACGCUAAUACCGCAUACGUCCUACGGGAGAAAGCAGGGGACCUUCGGGCCUUGCGCUAUCAGAUGAGCCUAGGUCGGAUUAGCUAGUUGGUGGGUGUAAUGGCUCACCAAGGCGACGAUCCGUAACUGGUCUGAGAGGAUGAUCAGUCACACUGGAACUGAGACACGGUCCAGACUCCUACGGGAGGCAGCAGUGGGGAAUAUUGGACAAUGGGCGAAAGCCUGAUCCAGCCAUGCCGCGUGUGUGAAGAAGGUCUUCGGAUUGUAAAGCACUUUAAGUUGGGAGGAAGGGCAGUAAGUUAAUACCUUGCUGUUUUGACGUUACCGACAGAAUAAGCACCGGCUAACUCUGUGCCAGCAGCCGCGGUAAUACAGAGGGUGCAAGCGUUAAUCGGAAUUACUGGGCGUAAAGCUCGUGUAGGUGGUUUGUUAAGUUGGAUGUGAAAGCCCCGGGCUCAACCUGGGAACUGCAUCCAAAACUGGCAAGCUAGAGUACGGUAGAGGGUGGUGGAAUUUCCUGUGUAGCGGUGAAAUGCGUAGAUAUAGGAAGGAACACCAGUG
rnacentral:rRNA from 1 species